rnacentral:rRNA from 1 species
AUUGAACGCUGGCGGCAGGCCUAACACAUGCAAGUCGAACGGCAGCACAGAAGAGCUUGCUCUUUGGGUGGCGAGUGGCGGACGGGUGAGUAAUGUCUGGGAAACUGCCCGAUGGAGGGGGAUAACUACUGGAAACGGUAGCUAAUACCGCAUAACGUCGCGAGACCAAAGUGGGGGACCUUCGGGCCUCACACCAUCGGAUGUGCCCAGAUGGGAUUAGCUAGUAGGUGGGGUAAUGGCUCACCUAGGCGACGAUCCCUAGCUGGCCUGCGAGGAUGACAGGCCACACUGGAACUGAGAACCGGUACAGACUACUACGGGAGGCAGCAGUGGGGAAUAUUGCACAAUGGGCGCAAGCCUGAUGCAGCCAUGCCGCGUGUAUGAAGAAGGCCUUCGGGUUGUAAAGUACUUUCAGCGGGGAGGAAGGCGGUGAGGUUAAUAACCUCGCCGAUUGACGUUACCCGCAGAAGAAGCACCGGCUAACUCCGUGCCAGCAGCAGCCGCCGUAA